GACGAACGCUGGCGGCGUGCUUAACACAUGCAAGUCGAACGGUAAGGCCCUUCGGGGUACACGAGUGGCGAACGGGUGAGUAACGCGUGGGUGAUCUGCCCUGCACUUCGGGAUAAGCCUGGGAAACUGGGGCUAAUACCGGAUAGGACUCCUGGCUUCAUGGUUGGGGGUGGAAAGCUUUUGCGGUGUGGGAUGGGCCCGCGGCCUAUCAGCUUGUUGGUGGGGUAAUGGCCUACCAAGGCGACGACGGGUAGCCGGCCUGAGAGGGUGACCGGUCACACUGGGACUGAGAUACGGCCCAGACUCCUACGGGAGGCAGCAGUGGGGAAUAUUGCACAAUGGGCGCAAGCCUGAUGCAGCGACGCCGCGUGAGGGAUGACGGCCUUCGGGUUGUAAACCUCUUUCAGCUAUGACGAAGCGCAAGUGACGGUAGUAGCAGAAGAAGGACCGGCCAACUACGUGCCAGCCGCCGCUGUAA
rnacentral:rRNA from 1 species